ACGCCUUAAACUUAUGAGUAAGGACGGUGACACCCCCGAAUCCUCACUGCUAAUGUGAGUUUUUGAGCGGGUAAAAGUUGACCCUAAGGUGACCCAUCUACUUUGCGGGAUGCCUGGGCGAGGGAUCUGCCUG